rnacentral:rRNA from 1 species
UACAGAGGUGGCAAGCGUUGUUCGGAAUUACUGGGCGUAAAGGGCGCGUAGGCGGCCAUCUAAGUCAGACGUGAAAUCCCUCGGCUUAACCGAGGAACUGCCUGUCAGACUGGAAGGCUUGAGACCGGGAGAGGUGAGUGGAAUUCCCAGUGUAGCGGUGAAAUGCGUAGAUAUUGGGAGGAACACCAGUGGCGAAGGCGGCCCACUGGACCGGAACUGACGCUGAGGCGCGAAAGCGUGGGGAGCAAACAGG